rnacentral:rRNA from 1 species
AUUGAACGCUGCGGAAUGCUUUACACAUUCAAGUCGAACGGCAGCACGGACUUCGGUCUGGUGGCGAGUGGCGAACGGGUGAGUAAUGUAUCGGAACGUGCCCAGUCGUGGGGGAUAACGUAGUGAAAAUUACGCUAAUACCGCAUACGAUCUAUGGAUGAAAGCGGGGGAUCGCAAGACCUCGCGCGAUUGGAGCGGCCGAUAUCAGAUUAGGUAGUUGGUGGGGUAAAGGCCCACCAAGCCAACGAUCUGUAGCUGGUCUGAGAGGACGACCAGCCACACUGGAACUGAGACACGGUCCAGACUCCUACGGGAGGCAGCAGUGGGGAAUUUUGGACAAUGGGCGAAAGCCUGAUCCAGCCAUUCCGCGUGCAGGAUGAAGGCCCUCGGGUUGUAAACUGCUUUUGUACAGAACGAAAAGGUUUCUACUAAUACUAGGAGCUCAUGACGGUACUGUAAGAAUAAGCACCGGCUAACUACGUGCCAGCAGCCGCGGUAA